GCCGCCUCGGCUAUAUCCGCCUCCCCCGCGGCCUCCGCCGCCGCCACCACCGCCACCAGACGGACUUGGUGUGGCGCACUUGUUGCACUCGGAUCUCCGUGCGAAGUUCACAUUCCCGCAGCUAGCGUUAGGGCAGACCCAAUCCCCUUCGCGGCCACCACCGCGACCUCCGCCGCCUCCACCUCCGCCGCCGCCACGGCUUCCGCGAUCGCCGCCUCCACGAUUCUGGGAAUUGCCGCCGUAUCCACCGCCCCCAUCACGG
rnacentral:misc_RNA from 1 species